rnacentral:rRNA from 1 species
UACGUAGGGUGCGAGCGUUAAUCGGAAUUACUGGGCGUAAAGCGUGCGCAGGCGGUUUGUUAAGACAGAUGUGAAAUCCCCGGGCUUAACCUGGGAACUGCAUUUGUGACUGGCAAGCUAGAGUAUGGCAGAGGGGGGGUAGAAUUCCACGUGUAGCAGUGAAAUGCGUAGAGAUGUGGAGGAAUACCGAUGGCGAAGGCAGCCCCCUGGGCCAAUACUGACGCUCAUGCACGAAAGGCGUGGGGAGCAAACGAAGGA